GGAUGAAAGGAGGAACAUGCUGAAAGGGAAGUUUGGCGGCUUGCAAAGGUUUAAGGGGUUUCGUAUUUGUUGGAGUUGGAGUUUGAAUUCAAAUUUAAAGGAUAUUUCAAAUAGGAGUCAAGGUGAGGUGUAAGCUUGGAAUGGAAAUUGAGGUGGAAAUUUUGGAGGGUUUGAUGACUAAGAUUUGGGGUGAAGCCUAGGAGGAUUUGGAGGUAAUUAAUAUUCAAAGUAAGUUUAAAUAUUAAUUCUAGGAUUCUCGGAGAAGAAAAUAUUUUGGAGGAAUUUAUUCCUAGGAUUUCUUAGGAAGGAGGGAAGGUUUUCUAAAGGCAAUCAAAUGCAACACAUAUGUGGUUAUUUUAUGCAAAGUUUGUUCAUAAAAAGAGUUUGAAUAUUUUAGGUAAGAGAGAAUAUGUUUAGUUUAAAGAAAAAAUUUAAAAGUCUGUAUUUUCAAAUGCUCUUAAAAAAGGCGGGAUGUUACACAUUAGUGUUCUGGUUUUGGCCCGUGGGGGGGCCAUGUAUCCUAUUCUUGUAGAAUUAGUCCUACCUUGGUAGUCUAAGUAGGUUCAGGCCACCUUAUAAACCUUCGUGUUUGGAGCAUAAAGUGUAAAAGAGGUGCUAUGCAAUUGGUGGCCUUGUUCCAUGUAGGAGUUUGGCUGUAAGCAUAUUUUGGAGCGGGGUGUUAGAUAUUCCAUCGGUUUGUUUCUCUCACAUGGUGACUACGCAUUACGCUAAGCUAAGCCGUAGGCGGAGGGUUGCUAAGGUCGGCCGCGCCCACCUUCGAUCUUCAGUUAGAUCCUUCUCUCACCAGUGCUAGGAUGGCGGAGAAUGGAUUGCUGGAUGCUUGCCUCAUC
rnacentral:lncRNA from 1 species